AUGACGAGUGCGCCUCACCCGAGGACAACACCUGCUCACCUUUCGCCACGUGCCACAACACUGUCGGCUCCUUCACGUGCGCAUGUCUGGACGGGUUCGAGGAUCGUUCGGCCGACUAUGAAGACCCUCCUGGCCAUGUAUGCAAAGAAGUCGUGAUGCCCCCCUCCCCAGCGGUGUGGUCUGUACUGGCUGUUGGCCUCGGUCUGGUGGCUGCAGUUCUCAUGAUUCUCGCAUGGCGCAUCCGUUUGGGCCGUGCAGAAAAACCGAAAGACGUGGAAGGGUUCAAGAGCGUCAGCGCAGCUACUACAAGGCUGAUGACUCCCAACACUGCUGAAGUGGUUACUGAAGAGGCCUGAUGAUGGUGAUGAUGACCAGGAACGGACAGACAAUCCAUCUGGAAUAUACAUUCAUUAAUUACAUGUACCUGCUUGUAGAAGAAAUAUUAUGAUGCUCUCUAUCACUUUCCCUUAUCUCCAAAGAGUAUUAGGCAUGUCAGAAAUUUAUUGUAAGUAGGUUAUAUCCACAUUUUGAUAUAGAAAGGAGGUAUAAAUGAUAGUGAUAACAACAUAGAAUAUAUGAUAAAGAAUAUAAUAUAUCAUAAUAUAUACUCUCUUCAUCCCUUCUGUAGUUUUAAUCAAAAUCUAAAAGUCUAUGUAUACCGAUAUUAUAAAUAGAAUAUCAUGACCGGAAUAGCCAUACUAUUCAACUACGAACUGAGCAGAACAUAUUAUAUAUUAUUAUAUUAUUCGAAUGAAUAUCGUAAAAACGAAGCAAAUCAUACCCCGGGGCGGACUUAAUUAGCCAUCAAAAUUGAUAAUUCUGCGAUACUGUUUGCUAAAAGUCAUAUUUUGCCCUUAAAUAAACUUAAAUUCUGAUGUACAUUUUAUUGAACUAAACUUGAACUAAAAUUAUAAUUUGAAACUUGAGAUUAUUUACGAAUUUAUUUUAGACACCUUUCAUCCUUUUUAUCUCAUUGCUUUAGAUGUAUUCACUGCAAUAAAUUUGGCAUC